GAUUUUGGAGGCAAAUGUACGGGAUCUAGUGAACUAGUGAAGUAGUGAACGUUGUGUAAAAAACGGCCCAGGGGCUGUGAUCUCUGCCCUCCAUGUCUGGAGGCUGUCUCCUUCAUCUGCAACCUGAGGAUGUGCCAUGCUGUUGUGGCAGGGAACCCACAUAACUGGAUAAGUGCUAAUACUGAAAUUUUAUGUGUAAGUGAUGUUAUUCAGUGCAGGAAUUCUAUUUUUUCAGGAAGUUUAUAAUAAAUGAACCCCCUCAACAAAAGUUUAAUCAUGUAAUAUAAUUAUGGAAGGCCAAGUAGUGGAAGAAGCUGCUGAAAUGCAGAGUGCUUCAUACCUGUGAAUGCAUAUGUCAAUUUUUGGCACUAACUUCACUGACAAGCGGUGGUCACCUCAAUAUAGUUUGCUUGCGGACUAUAGCCAUGGAGGUUUUUUUUAUUAGGUACACCAAAGAGACUAAUGACAUCUGGGGCAAAUGUGUUGUGAUGCCAAGAAGGCAGAAUAAUCACUACGUGAAGGUUUUGCCUGAAAAACAUACUGUGGGCCUAAAACAGGCCUAUAUGAAGAGAUGGAGAAAAUGGUUAUGUUCGUGGUGGAGAAUUUACCUACAAACUUUAUCUGUAAAGUAAAAAUUACUUCUUCAAUGUUUCUAUGGGAAGGGGGGAUGUCAUAUAUUAUUAUAGUAAGUACAGUAUUUAGUCUUUCUUUCCCGUCAGAAACAGCAAUGCCAUUAAGUACAGACUUGGGUAAAGAUUGCAAGUGCAUUCAGUUAAUUUCUUUCCACAUCUCUUUGAAUCCUUUCAAAGAAAUGCAUACUGUAGUUAGUAUAUCAUGAUGCUUGUUCAAAACAUUUUGUGGAUUUGAGGUUCUCACAGCAAUUGUUAUGGAAAGUUCUAUCUUCUAGGAUAUAACACUGUAGUUUGUUGAAGGUGAAACUGAUGUUUUGGAAGAGACUUGUUUCUUUGAAACACUGGUUGACUUCCAAUGGGCUACAUGGUGUUAUAUCACAGAAGAAAGAACUCUUCUGCACACCUUAUUGUUGAAACAUACAUUUCAGAAAAAUAAAGUAUGUGUAAUAUUUAAAUAAGUGUAGUGCUGUAAAUUAGCACAACAGUAUCAUCAGAAAAUGUUCAUGAUAAAUUAAAUAAUGGUAUUAAAUAAGUAUAGUGGAAGGCAAAGUAAAUCAUGGUAUUCAAAUGAAUGUAUAUAUAAUAAUCAGCACCACAGCAUAAGCAAAAGGAGGUAAGGAUACUGAAUUAUGAAACCAUAAAUUACAACCAAAUAUCUCCAUGUUGAACCAAAAGUAAUACAGAACACUUCCAUUUUGAAACAAAAGAGAGAGUAUUUCUUUUAUACAACACAUA